AUGGCUGACGAGGAUGCCGCGGCCGCGGCGAACCUCGUCGAGGCUGAAGAAGACGGUGGGCCAGCAAUGAUGAUGGCUUGCGUCGAGACCAUGCAGGAGGGCGGAGCACCUCCGGCGACCAUGGUCCUGACAAGCAUCGAAGCCGUGCAGGAGGGCGCAGCACCUCCGGCGACCACGGUGCCGGCAACCGUUAAGUCCGUGCGGGAGGCACGGAGCUCUUCAAGUAAUCCCCUCCCCACAUCGGUAGCGCUCUCCCCGACAACAACGUUCUCGGGAGAUUUCGAUUGGGAGGAGAUGAAGACCCGGGUGUGGGGGAGCCACACCCCGGCAACCACGUCCCUUGUGACGCUGGUCAAGCCCGUGCAAGUUGGCACGGCAAUCGCGGCCCCGACAUCCUCGGGACCCGACAAGCCCGUGCAAGUUGGCAUGGUAAAGGCGUACCCGACAUCCUCGGGACCCAAUAAGCCCGUGUCAGGAGGCACGGCAACGACGCAUAUGGUGGGCCAUGUCCCAACCAUGAUGCUGGUGACCAGUGAGACCGUGCAAGAGGCACGACACUCUCAGGUCGGCCAUACCCCGACAACCAGGUUCUCGGGGUUCUGCAAGCCCGUGUGGGCAACACGGCACUCUUCGACGGGCCUCAACAGCUGGGAGGCCAUGAAGAGACGGUCAUGGGGCGGCAAGGCCUCGACCGUGACUCUGGCGACCAUCGAGGCUGUGCAGGAGGCGCGGUGCUCUAUGGUCAGCCACGCAGCAACCCUGACGCGCUCGGGGUCCAUCGAGUCCGUGCGGGAAGCACGACUUACGUUUGUCGGGGGAGACCCGACAAGCAAGUCUGAUGGGAAGAGCAGCAAGGACUCCGCUACCCUGAGAGGAACCACUCCGGUCAGUGUGACGUCCGGCACAACGACCCUGGGAAGGGAGUUCCCGGGCAGUGCGGCGUCCGGCACGACGACCCCAGGAAGGGAAUUCCUGGGUAGUCCGAUGUCCGACAAGUCAUCCCCGGGAAGGGAGUUCCCGGGUAGCGUGACGUCCGACACGACGACCCCGGGAAGGGAGUUCCCGGGCAGUGUGACAUCAGGAACUACGACCCCAGAAACACUGACGCCCACGAGCGAGGUGGUUCCCGGGCAGUUCAUGUCCCCAUCAACAGCGCGGUCAGACUUGUUCGAUGCCAACAAAAAUGGUGGCGAUCCACACAGGUUCCGAAGCCUAGGGGGACCUUCUCGAGCCCGCGAGACGAUCGCAGCACCCGAGAUCAAGAAGCACGAACAGGGCAUACGGGCCGCCGAGAAGGCGGACAUCCCAACGAAGGCACUUGGUUGCAUCGAGUUCCAAGAGCCGCACGACAGGACCGGGAUCAUCAAGACCCUCCUACAGGUUUGA
rnacentral:rRNA from 1 species